GGUUGAGACUCUCACGGAUCCGGUUCCGCCCUCUCUCUCGCUGCCGACCCUUUGGGGCUAGUGCCCGAGAUCCCUUUCCCAGGGUGCUCUGCGCUGUGAAGAAGCGGCUCCCGGGGACUGGGGGCAUUUUGUGUUGGCUGGAGCCGGAGGAACAAGAUGGCGGCAUCGGCAGAGUGACAGGGGUCCUUUCGGGCCGGAGCCGGCGGCACUGGUGGCAGCGGUCUCGCCACCCUGAAUUCACCGCGCCCCUUUUCCAGCCCGCGACGUCGCCGCGAAAGCGAGACAGCGGCAGCCGCCCAGAAACAACCAGUCCAGCCUAGUAACCGCGAGAAUUGCCUCACAAUCGGCGCCUGGGCUAAAAGAACCCUGACUGAGCUGCGGUGAUCGGGAUCCGCGUCGGCCGAUUCUGGGCCCUGUAACGCCGGGGAAAGGCCUCCGUUGUCUGUUGCUGCCUCUCUCCUCCGCAGCGUUGCCCGGCGGAUCAUCCUCAGAGGCCUCCGUCGUCCCUUCUGAGGUGUCGGGGCUUUGCCCCAGUCUCUCAGGAUGGCGAGCAGCAGCGGCUCCAAGGCCGAAUUCAUUGUCGGAGGGAAAUACAAACUGGUACGGAAGAUCGGGUCCGGCUCCUUCGGGGACAUUUAUCUGGCGAUUAACAUCACCAAUGGCGAGGAAGUGGCAGUGAAACUAGAAUCGCAGAAGGCCAGGCAUCCCCAGUUGCUGUACGAGAGCAAACUCUAUAAGAUUCUUCAAGGUGGGGUUGGCAUCCCCCACAUACGGUGGUAUGGACAGGAAAAAGACUAUAAUGUGCUAGUCAUGGAUCUUCUUGGACCCAGCCUUGAAGACCUCUUCAAUUUCUGUUCAAGAAGGUUCACAAUGAAAACUGUACUUAUGUUGGCUGACCAGAUGAUCAGUAGAAUCGAAUAUGUGCAUACAAAGAAUUUUAUACACAGAGACAUUAAGCCAGAUAACUUCCUAAUGGGUAUUGGGCGUCACUGUAAUAAGUGUUUAGAAUCUCCAGUGGGGAAGAGGAAAAGAAGCAUGACUGUUAGUACUUCUCAGGACCCAUCUUUCUCAGGAUUAAACCAGUUAUUCCUUAUUGAUUUUGGCUUGGCCAAAAAGUACAGAGACAACAGGACAAGGCAACAUAUACCUUAUAGAGAAGAUAAAAACCUCACUGGCACUGCCCGAUAUGCCAGCAUCAAUGCACAUCUUGGUAUUGAACAAAGUCGCCGAGAUGACAUGGAGUCAUUAGGAUAUGUUUUGAUGUAUUUUAAUAGAACCAGCCUGCCAUGGCAAGGAUUAAAGGCUGCAACAAAGAAACAGAAAUAUGAAAAGAUUAGUGAAAAGAAGAUGUCUACGCCUGUUGAAGUUUUAUGUAAGGGAUUUCCUGCAGAGUUUGCCAUGUACUUAAACUAUUGUCGUGGGCUGCGCUUUGAAGAAGCCCCGGAUUACAUGUAUCUGAGGCAGCUAUUCCGCAUCCUUUUCAGGACCCUAAACCACCAAUAUGACUACACAUUUGAUUGGACAAUGUUAAAGCAGAAAGCAGCACAGCAGGCAGCAUCUUCCAGUGGGCAGGGUCAGCAGGCCCAAACCCCCACAGGCAAGCAAACUGACAAAACCAAGAGUAACAUGAAAGGUUUACUGGGACUGCCAAAGUUUGCAACUACCAAGUUGUCUGGAUUAUUUCACGACUACAAGAAGACCCAUACAGCGUUGCUGUGACGCAAUGUGUGUGAUGCAGACCGCCUUCCAGUUGAAGAAGGAAGGAAUCAGUUGCAACAGGAUCAAAGGGAUUCAUCGCUGAUUUUAAAUAAUAUUAUCUUCAAAAUUGUUGUUUGGACUUUUGGAACUUGGGAGAUAUGCCACCGAAUCUGCAAAGGAAGAGGGAAGAACUAAAGGACACUGGAGCAGAGAAUGCAUAAUGCCCUAAGUGCUGGAAGAGCAAGUAUUGAAAAGCUGCUGGAUAUUCCUGCUGAGGUUUCUUCCAAACAAACUGUACUAACAAUUUAGGACGUUUCUCUGGAAAAAGUUGAUAACUCUGGAGUAUCCUGCCAUUGGCCCACCUGAAGAGUAAAGAUUUGACUGCUCUGUUCUACAAAGAAUGUUAUUAGGCCAGCAUUUAAGCAGUCCCUAAAGAAUUGUAGUGAAUAAUUGACUCAAAAAUUCCUCACAUGUUUUAUUGAAGGCUAAACAGUUUAUCUAGCACUUCACUAUUAAAGAUAUGUUUUCUAAUAUUUUGACUGAUAAUAAAAUUUAUCUUUUUAGUUAAUAACCAUAACUUUCCAUUUGAAAGAUACUGAACAGUCAGACUAUAAUCACAUAAACAGGCUAUGAUAAAGGAAAGCCCAACAAAUAACUUUAAGAGUACACUCAUAUUUAAGAACAGUGACAUUAUGUAAUCAUUUUGUUGGGUAGGUGGUAAUUUCUGUUUAGCUAAUCUAGUCUUUUUUUUUUAACCUAUGGUUUUUCAUACUGGAAAAAUUAGAGAAUAUUGUCCAAUAUAAGUUGUUGAGGUUAUUGAGGUUUACCUUUCUAAUCCUACUGUUCUGUUGUUAGGUACUUUGGAAAAGUAAAGGAAUAAAGUACUCAUAUCUGUCCUCAGGGCUUGGCACAAAUACUUGGCACAGGUUUCUAAGCAUGAAUUGUGGAACAGAAGAAGCAGAGCAGAUGAUCGGAGCAGCAUUUGUUUCUCCCCAAAUCUAGAAAUUUUAGUUCAUAUGUGCACUAGCCGGUGGUUGUGGACAACCAUUUACUUGGUGUAAAGAACUUAAUUUCGUUAUAAACUGGCUCUGGGCAGCAUUGGUGAUGCUGUAUCCUGAGUUGUAGCUGCUGUAAUUGUGAAUAUUAACUGAGGUAGUGAAACAUGGUGUCCGGUUUUCUAUUGCAUUUUUUCAAGUGGAAAAGUUACCUAAAUGGUUGACACACACAAAUUGGUGGAGACAUUGUGCAUAUGCCAAUUUUUUGUUAAGAUCCUUUAUUUUGAACUAUACUGCUUUGAAAUCUCAUUUCAGAAGAACGGCAUGAACAGUCUUCAGUGGCAGUUGUGAUGGUUGUAAAUUCUCACAGCUGUUCGUUCUUAGGGUUGUUCCACCCCUGGGGUUUGCAAGUUGUUCACUUAAAACAUUCUUAAAAUGGCUGGCUUCCUGUUUGCAAGCCAGCUGAUAUGGUAGCAACCAAAGAUUCCAGUGUUUGAGCAUAUGAAAGACUCUGCCUGCUUAACUGUGCUAGAAAUAACAGCAUCUAAAGUGAAGACUUAAGAAAAACUUAGUGACUACUAGAUAAUCCUUAGGACUCUGCAUUAACUCUAUAAUGUUCUUGGUAUUAAAAAAAAAAAGCAUAUUUGUCACAGAAAUUUAGUUAACAUCUUACAAUUGAACAUGUAUGUAUGUUGCUUAGAUAAAUGUAAUCACUGUAAACAUCUAUACGAUCUGGGAUUUUGUUUUUAUUUUGAAAAUGGGAGCUUUUUUUUUGUUUACAAGUUCAUUAAAAACUAAAAACUGUUUCUGUAAGGAAAUGAGAUUUUUUUAAACAACAACAAAAAUGCCUUGCUGACUCACUAUGAAAUAAAAACUCCCUGAUUUUUUGAUAAGACUACUUCAAGCCAUUUAUUACAUGAUAUUCCUUUGAUAAGUUGAGUUAGAUUAAAUGUAUGACUUUUCCUCAAAAAAAAACUUUUUUUUUUUUUUUAAUUUUAAAAAUGUUUUGGGUUUUUCCCCUCUGAAGGGAAUAGGCAGUCUUUCAAUUUUUUUCUUUCUUUUUUCUUUUUUUUUUUUUUUUUAAUGACUUGCAGAUACAGUACCUGGUUCUGCAACUGCCAGAACUUAGUAUUGAAUCUGCUGCUACAGCUGACUAACAGCUGGACUGAUUUUGAGUAAGAAUGAAAGCGUUAAAGGGUUUGACUACAAGAUUUUUUUUUUUAACCACAUGUGAAAUGGCUCUAGGCAGUGGACUCUUACCCUUGGAAAGCAUCGCACUGUGUGAGGCCCAAGUGAGUGCUGACCCUCUAAUCUUAGCCCCACCCUGCUUCUCCGUCAUUCUCUGUGCGUUCCCCUCAAUCUGACUGGCGCGCUCUUUUCUCUGAACCAAGAGAAAGGAAAUGUAUUGAUGAUAAUUCCUUGAAUAGUGUAAUUUAUUCAUUUAUAGCACAUCAGGAUAAAUUAAAAAAGAAUACUUGUCUGAAAUGCUGCCAGGAGCCUAUUGUGUAAAUGUAGGUAUUUUGUAAAAUCUUGGAAACUGUAAAUUGACAUGUGUUUGGUCAGAUUGUAUCAGGUUUAAUUUUCUUUUUUAAAUUAUUUCUCAUUCAAAACUGUUUUAGCAAUAAUUAAUUCCAUGGGUUAACCACCACAUUCUGCCGUGAAGGAAUAUGUUAGUGUGGACCUUAAUGCUGAAGAAAUCUUAGUAGAUCUGAAUUUGGGGAUAGGCAGCUUCUUUGUUUCUUUUCUAACCAUCCUUGUCAGUUAAGGUAUUUGUUUCUUGACUAAUAAACCCUUUGAUACUUUUAGCCAGAAAUCAGUCUCAUAAAGCUAUUUUUGAGUAUAGUUUGUGUAAAAUAAAUUUGUUUAGCUUUGGUAAGAACUUUUCCAAGCUGAACUCCCUCUAGCAAGAUAUUUUUCAGUGCUUUCAUUUACUAUGCACUUAGACUAUGCACUUUUUCUGAGAUAUUUUUGUAACACUUUUUUGUAUUUUUGCCAUUGAAAAGGUUGUGGUGUAGUUGGUCUGUAAUUAAGUUGCAGAUUUAAAACUGCUGUUAGCUUUGUAAAUCAAAAUAUAGGUGUUUUUUGUCUUGGUAUAUUGUCACUCCAUCUGCAGCUGGAGCUGGAAUCCCAUUGAUCUUCUAGCUACCAUUCAUUUUCUUCACAGUUCACAAAAGAAGAAUGUGAAAUGCAGUGAAUGCUGUUACUAAUCCUGUCGGGAAAUGAAUCUCAUUUCACCAAAAUUAUGUUUUUCCACUAAAAUGAUGAUACAAGUUGAAGACACAUCACUCUGAAAUUGGAAGACCUCACCACUUAAGGCUCCACAGUGGCUUACUGAGCUGAACUCUAGGUUACUACUCUUUACUUUGUUCACCCAUUGGGGGGUGCAGUUUUUUUUAAAUGUUGGGAGAUGGCCAUUCUAACUACUGUUGAAUGUCUGUUUUGGGAAGGUAUAAUGAGAAAAUAAAAAAGAAUAUAUAUGAA